UGGGGAAUUUUGCACAAUGGGGGAAACCCUGAUGCAGCGACGCCGCGUGAUUUAGAAGGCCUUCGGGUUGUAAAAAUCUUUUCGAUGGGAAGAAAAUGACAGUACCAUAGGAAUAAGGACCGGCUAAUUACGUGCCAGCAGCCGCGGUAAUACGUAAGGUCCGAGCGUUGUCCGGAAUCAUUGGGCGUAAAGGGUACGGAGGCGGGUAAGCAAGUUAGAAGUGAAAUCCUAUAGCUCAACUAUAGUAAGCUUUUAAAACUGCUCAUCUUGAGGUAUGGAAGGGAAAGUGGAAUUCCUAGUGUAGCGGUGAAAUGCGCAGAUAUUAGGAGGAAUACCGGUGGCGAAGGCGACUUUCUGGCCAUAACCUGACGCUGAGGUACGAAAGCGUGGGUAGCAAACAGG
rnacentral:rRNA from 1 species